GCCUCUAUAGCUCAGUGGUAGAGCACUGGUCUCGUAAACCAGGGGUCGUGAGGUCGAUUCUCACUGGAGGCA
rnacentral:tRNA from 1 species